GUCGUCUUCUGUGAGCACACCCAACUAUUCGGAGAGUGACAGAGGACAAAAUUGUUGCAUGACUAGGGUCGCCCAUGUGCGGGCACCUUAGAAUGUUUAAACAAUGAAUUUAUCAUUCUAGUUGGUCCAAUGUACUCUGUUCUCUACAAUAGAGAAAGAACAAUUAAGAAACAUGAUUAUAAAAAGAAUCUGAUGACACCCAGGUGGUGUAAAGAUGAGAAGAAAGGAAUGUUGGAGGGGAAAACGGUCAAAAAUGAGAAGAACUGGAGAACCAGUUGGCUUUCACUACUACUAUUAGACAGACGUUCCUAUUUGAGUCUUGUUCUGAGACUGUAGAGUGAAAAAAUUUCAGAAGUUGGAAAGUUAAGCACAGUGGUCAACCAAUUUUGCCAACUCAUUCCAAACACAGUGGUAAUCUUCGUCUAUUCUGUAAUAAUGUAACCAUCUUACUUGCACAAAUUUUGGAAGAAACAACUAGUCGACUGCCACUUUACUGCUACUAUCAAGUGUGUCAUUGAUGCAUUUUGCCAAAUAGAGACUAAAGACUGUAAGUUUGGACUAAAGAUUGUAAUGUGUUAUAUAUAAUAUCAUUCGACCACCCAAUAGGAUAACCAUCCUCACUAAUUCUUCUCUUCCAUAGUUAUCUAGGUAUUUAUCCUUGACUCUUGUAAACUCUCUCUCUCUCAAUAAAGAUCUAUGAUUUCUGUAAA
rnacentral:lncRNA from 1 species